rnacentral:rRNA from 1 species
UACGUAGGGAGCAAGCGUUGUCCGGAAUCAUUGGGCGUAAAGCGCGCGUAGGCGGCCCCGUAAGUCCGCUGUGAAAGUCAAAGGCUCAACCUUUGAAAGCCGGUGGAUACUGUGGGGCUAGAGUCCGGAAGAGGCGAGUGGAAUUCCCGGUGUAGCGGUGAAAUGCGCAGAUAUCGGGAGGAACACCGGUGGCGAAGGCGGUUCUCUGGGCCUUACCUGACGCUGAGGAGCGAAAGCGUGGGGAGCGAACAGG